UACAGACGGUCCAAACGUUAUUCGGAAUCACUGGGCUUAAAGAGUUCGUAGGCGGUCAGGAAAGUGGGGUGUGAAAGCCCUCGGCUUAACCGAGGAAUUGCGCUCCAAACUCCCUGACUUGAGGAGGCUAGAGGUAAGCGGAACUGAUGGUGGAGCGGUGAAAUGCGUUGAUAUCAUCAGGAACACCGGAGGCGAAGGCGGCUUACUGGACCGGAACUGACGCUGAGGCGCGAAAGCGUGGGGAGCAAACGGG
rnacentral:rRNA from 1 species